ACAUACGAACAUAGGGAGUGGAAAAUAGGGCUUCCCGUCCGCUCAGCCGUACUCAAGCCACUCGCCGGCCUGUUAGUAGUUGGGUGGGUGACCACCAGCGAAUCCGGGCUUUCGUAUGUU
rfam:Emmonsia parva TAMH 139 supercont1.3297, whole genome shotgun sequence.